AUGAUGGACGACCCGCCGCCCUCGCUCCACCGGCUUCUCCUGCCGCCGCUGCUUCUAGUGCUGCUGGUGCUGGUAUCCGUCUCCUGCCCGCUCGCCCACGGCAGCCCAGCGACUGGAGGAGGACUCGGUGCCGAGGAAUGGACCGCGAGGACGGAUGCCGCUUCCGUUCAACUCAGAAAUUCGCAUCCGAGAAGACUGCUGCAGGUAGGCGGUGGAAACCACCUUCCACCACAGUUCCUGCAGCCGAGGCACAGGCACCACAGAAGAACACACUCGCCCGCUCCAUCGCCCGCGCCGUUCACCGCUCCAUCACCAUCGCCUUCAGCAUUUCGCCCAUCGCUAGCCCCUCCACAAUUGGCCUGGCCUCUGCCUUCCACCCCACAGCCAAGCCAUGAUCCUCAAGUUGGUGCCCCAGUCAACCCUUUGCAUAAGCAUUCCUGGAGAGCCUACGGUUUGGUCUCGGCAGGUGGCGCUGCUUUCCUUGUCAUGGCAGCGGUGUUUGCUGUGUACUGCCGGGCGAAGAAAGUGGGUACUGUGAGGCCUUGGGUGACAGGGUUAAGCGGGCAACUGCAGCGAGUAUUUGUGACAGGUGUGCCUUCACUGAAACGGUCAGAGCUGGAAGCAGCCUGUGAGGAUUUCAGCAAUAUAAUUGGUUCUACGGCUAACUGCAUGCUGUAUAAGGGAACAUUGUCAAGCGGAGUUGAAAUAGCAGUUGUGUCAAGUUUAAUAUCAUCCAGGAAUGAUUGGUCAAAAGAAUGUGAAUCCCAGUACAGGAAAAAGAUCUCGAGUUUAUCCAAAGUGGGCCACAAGAACUUCAUCAAUCUGCUUGGCUACUGUGAAGAAGAAAAUCCUUUCACCAGAGCUAUGGUGUUUGAAUAUGCUCCGAAUGGGACCCUUUUCGAGCAUCUCCAUGUUAGAGAAGCUGAGAACUUGGACUGGAUGGCCCGACUUAGAAUAUCGAUGGGGAUAGCAUACUGCCUCGAGCAAAUGCACAAGCUGAAUCCACCCGUCGUGCCGCGGAGCUUCGACUCAACAACCAUCCACCUCACCGAUGAUUUUGCCGCAAAGGUUUCAGAUCUUGAUUUCUGGAAUGGCACCAAGGGAUCUGAUUCCGUCGCCGACGACUGCAUCAUGUUAGACACGGAGAGCAUCGUGCAUCAGUACGGCAUUAUACUGCUGGAGAUAUUAACCGGGAGAGCGCCCUUCCCUGAGCAAGACCUGCCACUCGAUCAGUGGGCGUCCAUCUAUUUUGGAGGCAAGAUGCCUCUUGCAGAGCUGAUCGACUCGAGCCUGGGCUCCUUCCCUGAGGAAACCGCGCGCGCGUUGUGCGACGUCGCGCGGUCCUGCGUCGACCCGGACCCGAGCAAGAGACCGCGGAUGGCGCAGGUGGCGGCGCAGAUGAAGGAGAUCACGGCGGUGGGGCCCGAGGGCGCGACCCCGAAGGUGUCGCCGCUGUGGUGGGCCGAGCUUGAGAUCAUGUCUGCUGAGGCUACCUGA
rnacentral:rRNA from 1 species